UCCUUCAUGACAACAGAAGACACAGAAAUCCUCCUCAUCAAAAGCAUGACUUUGAUCUCCGUCCUCAUCUGGAUUCUCCUCUGCUGCUGCUUCACAGAGUCCAGAGGCCAGGUCACAGUGACUCAGUCUGGAGCAGUGAGCUCUGCUCUGGGACGCUCCGCCACCAUCACAUGUAGGACCAGUCAGAAUGUUUAUAGCUCCGAUCGUUUAGCCUGGUACCAACAGAGAGAUGGAGAAACUCCUAAACUGCUCAUUUACUAUGCUAGCACCCGAGCAUCAGGGAUUCCAGGUCGUUUUACAGGCAGUGGAUCAAACUCUGACUUCACUCUGACCAUCAGUGGAGUCCAGACUGAAGAUGCAGCAGUUUACUACUGUCAGAGUUAUCACUACAUCAACAGUCAGAAUGUGUUCACACAGUGAAAAAGCGUCGUACAAAAACCUCCCUCACUCAGACUGAACAGAAACUGAACUGACUGCUGCAGCUGGAAGCUACUGCAGAGACUGAUACACUUCACUGAGGACACACACACACACACAUUAAGAUGGUAACAGUGGGGUAAUAUGUUUCAGUAACAAGACUCAACAGGUCAUAAUGUGGUUAUUACAGAUGUACAGUGGGAAUUGGGAGAGGGACAGAAAAAGUAAAUAGUUUAGCAGACAUGGUAUGUAUAUUUCAUUAUUUAUCAUAAUUAGGUCAUUUAAAUAUAUAUCAUUUAUAUUGUUUAUGAUAGAUUGUCAGUGUGUUUUCUUGCCUGAUUCACUCACAGAAACAAUAGAAAAUCACUCAAACUAUUGCUACACAUCACAUGACAGCCACGGAGGGGCCCACACAAAGCAUAGCCUAGGGGCUCAUGACCGACUUAAUCCACCACAGGUAACAGCAUAAUAAAGACACAAAAAUCUGACAAUUAUUGGGGGAAAAUCAAGGUUGUUCAUUAGUUUCCUUAAUAUAAAAGGCAGCAGGUAUGAUUUAUUUAUCCAGGUUUUGAAACGUCACUGAGAUUGCUCAACCUCAUACAAAGGAGGCUUUUUUGUGCAGCACUUUGGAAACCUUGUGUUUGUUAAAAUCGUGCUAUAUAAAUAAAGUGGA